GUUUGAGGAUCCAAGUCUCUAUCAUUAUGCCAUAUUUUCAGAUAACGUGAUUGCAGUGUCUGUCGUGGUGAGGUCAGUGGUGAAGAAUGCAGAGGAACCUUGGAAACAUGUUUUCCAUGUUGUUACUGACAGAAUGAAUGUGGCAGCCAUGAAGGUGUGGUUCAGGAUGAGGCCUAUUGAGGGAGGUGCACAUGUAGAGGUUAAGGCGGUGGAGGAUUUUAGUUUUUUGAAUUCUUCAUAUGUGCCAGUUUUGAGGCAACGGGAC
rnacentral:misc_RNA from 1 species